CACGUAGGGUGCGAGCGUUGUCCGGAAUUAUUGGGCGUAAAGAGCUCGUAGGCGGUCUGUCGCGUCGAUCGUGAAAACCUGCAGCUUAACUGUGGGCUUGCGGUCGAUACGGGCAUGACUGGAGUUCGGCAGGGGAGACUGGAAUUCCUGGUGUAGCGGUGAAAUGCGCAGAUAUCAGGAGGAACACCGGUGGCGAAGGCGGCUCACUGGUCCGGUUCUGACGCUGAGGCGCGAAAGCGUGGGGAGCAAACAGG
rnacentral:rRNA from 1 species